rnacentral:rRNA from 1 species
UAUGAAGGGGGCUAGCGUUGUUCGGAAUCACUGGGCGUAAAGGGCGCGUAGGCGGCUUUAUAAGUCGGGGGUGAAAGCCUGUGGCUCAACCACAGAAUUGCCUUCGAUACUGUAGAGCUUGAGACCGGAAGAGGUAAGUGGAACUGCGAGUGUAGAGGUGAAAUUCGUAGAUAUUCGCAAGAACACCAGUGGCGAAGGCGGCUUACUGGUCCGGUUCUGACGCUGAGGCGCGAAAGCGUGGGGAGCAAACAGG